rnacentral:lncRNA from 1 species
AAGAUCCCACGUCAUUCACUUUUUUGUCCGGGAUAGUCUUUGUCUUUUCAAACGAAAUUUCGGCAGAGAGGUAUUUUAAAAUACCUCAUUUUUUUUGUUCAAGUACCCUUUUGUUUAAUUUUAUUAUUUAUUCUUAUUUUUUAUUAUUAUCAAUAUUAUUAACAUUAUUAUUAUUAUUAUUUAUUUAUUAAUAUUUUUUUAUUUGUAUUUAUUAUUAUUUAUAUUUUAUUAUUUAUUUUAUUUCUCAAAAAAAAAGCAACCCUUUCUCUUCUUUUUUUUUCUUUUUACGUUUUUUCCUUCUUUAUUUUUUUUUUAUUAUUUAUUUUAUUCAUCUUUUUUUUUUUAUUAAAAAAAAUCAAAAAAAAUCAAAAAAUGUCCAAGAACAGCAAAGGUCAGUGCAUGAUUCUCCAACCCAGAAAGGUUUUUUCCUUUCACUUCUUUCUUUUUCCCAAAAAUUCUGCAACAAGAAGAACACGUUAAAAUUCCUGCAGCCAACUGAACAACAAACUCAAACAGUUGUCCUCUCUCCAAUUCGGACCAUUACUUCCAACAAGGAAAAAUUGAAAGUCAACUUUUUCCCUUUUCCAUCAAACAUAAACCCUAAUUUUUGGGUAUAAAUAAAAGGAACCAAAACUCAAAGAAAAGAAAAAAAGGAGAACCACAGCCGCACCUGCAAAGAAACAAUCAACAACAAACCCAAAAAGAACAGCCGCAACAGUACAACCACAACCAAAACCCUAAAAUUUUUCAUCACAGAAACCAAACUUUCAAAACCACAGAAAAAAGCCAAAAACCACACAGAAACCACCAACCAAUCUUCAACCUCCAUCCAGUUUCAACCAUAUCCUCAAAUCAUCAAAACCAAAAGGAAAAUCUAAAAAAAAAACAACAAAACAGAAACCGAAACAAAACAGAAGGAAGAAGGAGCGAAAAGAAGAAGAAAAAAAACCUUGAAAACUGCCUUCUCCGAUCUACGUUUGGGUGAGAUUUUCGAAUUUUUCAUGCUCAUUUUCGUAUUCUAGGGUUUGAAUAAAGGGGGGUUUAGUGUANNNNNNNNNNNNNNNNNNNNNNNNNNNNNNNNNNNNNNCCGGCGCGGCGGCGCCGCCGUCUGGCCUGACGGCCGCCGCGCCGGCGACGGGUUAUAAAAGCAAACCCUAGCAGAGCUUAGGUUAGAGAAGAGAGGAGAUGAAAGAAAAAUAAAAAAAAUACAAUGGGUUUCUCUGUAUAUUGCUAUUUAUAGCAAAUUUUUUAUUUUUUAGGUGAUUUU